UACGUAGGUGGCAAGCGAUACUCGGAAUCACUAGGCGUAAAGCGCAGGUAGGCGGUUUGAUAAGUCUUUUGUGAAAGCUCCCGGCUUAACUGGGAGAGGUCAAGGGAAACUGUCAGGCUAGAGUUUGGUAGGGGAUACUGGAAUUCCUGGUGUAGCGGUGAAAUGCGUAGAUAUCAGGAGGAAUACCUAUGGCGAAAGCAGGUAUCUGGGCCAUUACUGACGCUGAGGAGCGAAAGCGUGGGGAGCGAACAGG
rnacentral:rRNA from 1 species